GCAUCAAAAGACCUUCUAGGGUCCCUUGACACUCUUUCUCUGUUUGCUCUACAAGACAUUGCCCUAGGCAAUGUAGGAGGACGGGCGCUCGUGCCCUCAUCCUCAGGUGGUACUCCAGUCAAUCUUGCCCAUCGACGGGUUCCUCUCAUCCUGUUUUCUGAAAAACAGUACACAUCAUACAAACGUUAGCAUCAUAUGAUUCAUGUGGGCACACAUGAACCCUCAUCACAUAUACAUCAUUCAUAUCAUAGCAUCAAUGCACAUGUAUAAAGUCAUGGCAUUACACAUCAUCAUACAAGACAGGACUCCACAUCCUAUCCUAGUGGACAUGAUCUUUUCUAUUGUGCUUGACCUUCUAGAACAUCUAUGAGCCCGACACUCUAGGUUCGAUCCUAUGAACCUAGGGCUCUGAUACCAUUCUGUAAUGACCCGAAAAUCGAACCGCUACCGGCGCUAGGAUCCGGGUCGGCUUAAGGCCGCCAAGACCCGUAGCAAGCCUGACUUGCAACCUGAAAACCUGUUUAAUCCCAUACAUGAUCACAACAUACAUAAAAAAUUUAAAACUUUUCUUUCAUACAUCCAACUCAACCUGAACAUGCACUGCACAUAGCCAUAAUCAUAAUUAUGAUCCCUCUGUGGGGUCUCAUCAAUGCCCCAAUGGGCGGUACAUCACAAGAUGAGUUGGCUUUCAUGACAUAAUAAAACAUUUUUGAUCAUGUAAUAAAAAGGGAUACCUCAUACACAAUGUCAAGCACAAUAUCAAAUCCUCAAAAUCAUUACAUGACUGAAACUGUACUUUUACAUAACAUUAAUACAUCUAUCAUGUCCACACUAACUAUUACAUACAUGUGACUUCAUUACUCUUGUAAACCUCCUGGUCUACCCUGUACCUGCAAUCCUGGGGAAAAAUGGGAGAAGGGUGAGCUACUAGAGCCCAGUGAGUAGAAUAAUAAAACACUUAAAACAUAUGAUAACAUGAAAUGCAUCACAUCACAGCUAAUCACAUCAAGGAUGAACUUGUCACCAAUAGCCCUCUACAUGGUCCAACUGUGCCAGAACGUAGAAUGGGUCCUGGUCUUUCCCUUACAUAUCAUAACAUAACAGUGUCCAAUUGUGCCAGAA
rnacentral:lncRNA from 1 species